rnacentral:rRNA from 1 species
GAUGAACGCUGGCGGCGUGCCUAAUACAUGCAAGUCGAGCGAACAGACGAGGAGCUUGCUCCUCUGACGUUAGCGGCGGACGGGGGAGUAACACGUGGAUAACCUACCUAUAAGACUGGGAUAACUUCGGGAAACCGGAGCUAAUACCGGAUAAUAUAUUGAACCGCAUGGUUCAAUAGUGAAAGACGGUUUUGCUGUCACUUAUAGAUGGAUCCGCGCCGCAUUAGCUAGUUGGUAAGGUAACGGCUUACCAAGGCAACGAUGCGUAGCCGACCUGAGAGGGUGAUCGGCCACACUGGAACUGAGACACGGUCCAGACUCCUACGGGAGGCAGCAGUAGGGAAUCUUCCGCAAUGGGCGAAAGCCUGACGGAGCAACGCCGCGUGAGUGAUGAAGGUCUUCGGAUCGUAAAACUCUGUUAUUAGGGAAGAACAAAUGUGUAAGUAACUAUGCACGUCUUGACGGUACCUAGUCAGAAAGCCACGGCUAACUACGUG